rfam:Sarcophilus harrisii ctg7180002193984, whole genome shotgun sequence.
UUGCAAACUCGAUCACUGGCUCUGCAUGACGUUGCAGAAGCAAGGGGAACCAGGUUUGCAAAAGUAAUUGUGGUGAUAGAAGUUUAUUUGCCUCGGAAUUGAAAUUUUCCAGGCACCUUGUUCUAUCCUAAGACAAGA